UUGGGCACUGUCUCAACGAGAGACUCGGUGAAAUCAUAGUACCUGUGAAGAUGCAGGUUACCCGCGACAGGACGGAAAGACCCCGUGGAGCUUUACUGUAGCCUGAUAUUGAAAUUCGGCACAGCUUGUACAGGAUAGGUAGGAGCCUUUGAAACGUGAGCGCUAGCUUACGUGGAGGCGCUGGUGGGAUACUACCCUAGCUGUGUUGGCUUUCUAACCCGCACCACUUAUCGUGGUGGGAGACAGUGUCAGGCGGGCAGUUUGACUGGGGCGGUCGCCUCCUAAAAGGUAACGGAGGCGCUCAAAGGUUCCCUCAGAAUGGUUGGAAAUCAUUCAUAGAGUGUAAAGGCAUAAGGGAGCUUGACUGCGAGACCUACAAGUCGAGCAGGGUCGAAAGACGGACUUAGUGAUCCGGUGGUU
rnacentral:rRNA from 1 species